rfam:Musa acuminata subsp. malaccensis Doubled-haploid Pahang (DH-Pahang) genomic chromosome, chr6
AUAGGCACUAUGAGGAAAUGCAUUCUUUCAAUCUGCAAGAUCAACUGAUCAAUGAGCAGAAAAAUUUAGUCCUUUUCAUUCUGAGUGCCUG